rnacentral:rRNA from 1 species
UACGUAGGUGGCAAGCGUUGUUCGGAUUUACUGGGCGUAAAGGGCGCGUAGGCGGUCAGCACAAGUCAGUUGUGAAAUCUCCGGGCUUAACUCGGAAAGGUCAACUGAUACUGUGCGACUAGAGUGCAGAAGGGGCAACUGGAAUUCUCGGUGUAGCGGUGGAAUGCGCAGAUAUCAGGAGGAACACCGAUGGCGAAGGCAGGUCACUGGGCCGCAACUGACGCUGAGGAGCGAAAGCAUGGGGAGCGAACAGG